UUACAGUCCACAUGUUUUAAGUCUAACAGAAAAAAAAAUCAUGAAGUUGUGAGACAGUUCCAAGUCUGCAUCUACAUCCUCAGGUUGGUGACCUUGGGGCACCACUUUCAGAUAAAAACAUAGACCUGAAUGGCAUCAUCCAGUAUCCAAGGAAACCAUGUAUUCAAGUAGUCACUCCUUCUCUGCCUGAUUUGAGACCAUGUUACCUACAGCUGCAUGGGACUGCAGAACUCACUGUGCCCUUCGAAUGUUAUGCCUGUCUGUCUCACUGACCCUUGGGUUGGGUGACAGCCUUGGAUGGGGCCCGUGCUGUAUUUAUGAUCC